rnacentral:rRNA from 1 species
AUUCCAGCUCCAAUAGCGUAUAUUAAAGUUGUUGUAGUUAAAAAGCUCGUAGUUGAACUUUUGAAAGUGCUGCUAGUCUGAUUUUUCAGUGCUAACGGUGUCUUUCAUCAUAAGCAAAAUCUGUAGAGUAUUAAGUUGUUUUACAGGGAGAACUUAUCAUUUACUGUGAAGAAACUAAAGUGUUUAAAGCAGGCUUAUGCCAUUGAAUAAAUUAGCAUGGAAUAAUCAUAUAGGACCUGGGUACUACUUUGUUGGUUUGUGUACAAUAGUAAUGGUGAAUAGGAAUAAUUGGGGGUAUUUGUAUUCCAUUGUCAGAGGUGAAAUUCUUGGAUUUCUGGAAGACACACAACUGCAAAAGCAUUUACCAAAGAUGUUUUC